AUUGAACGCUGGCGGCAUGCCUUACACAUGCAAGUCGAACGGUAACAGGUCUUCGGAUGCUGACGAGUGGCGAACGGGUGAGUAAUACAUCGGAACGUGCCUAGUAGUGGGGGAUAACUAAUCGAAAGAGUGGCUAAUACCGCAUGAGAUCUACGGAUGAAAGCAGGGGAUCGCAAGACCUUGUGCUACUAGAGCGGCCGAUGGCAGGUUAGGUAGUUGGUGGGAUAAAAGCUUACCAAGCCGACGAUCUGUAGCUGGUCUGAGAGGACGAUCAGCCACACUGGGACUGAGACACGGCCCAGACUCCUACGGGAGGCAGCAGUGGGGAAUUUUGGACAAUGGGCGCAAGCCUGAUCCAGCAAUGCCGCGUGCAGGAUGAAGGCCUUCGGGUUGUAAACUGCUUUUGUACGGAACGAAAAGCCCUGGGUUAAUACCCUGGGGUCAUGACGGUACCGUAAGAAUAAGCACCGGCUAACUACGUGUCAGCAGCCGCCGCCGUAA
rnacentral:rRNA from 1 species